UCAGUGAAGCCAUGCAGAGAGUACAGUCAGUGCAUUUCCAUUUGGGGAUACCUUAUUAAAUAGCAUUUUGAAGGUGGGGAGUGUAAACACCUCAACAGAACCACUAAUAAAAGCUUCAGAUUCAGUCGGUCUGAUUUGAGGAUGCCGCCUGACACAAUCCCUUUCAAAAAGCUACAGGAUUCCCCCUAAAGAAAUGCACUGCAUCUAAGCAUAAAUGGAUGGAUAUGUGAGUAGGGGACAUCCUAACAAAAUCCUACUCACCAAGAGCAGAGAGGCUAUUACUUGAGGGAAAUGAAAGUACAAUUUGUUUCAUUUUAAGCAACAGAUCGGCUGUAUCAAGUAAUUUUUAGGUCACAAAAGGAGAUUUGGGCCACACUAUUGAAAAACACCCCGUCCACGAAGCUGAAAUACUUUUCUUGUGAAGAGCAUUCAUAAACUAAUUUA